GACGAACGCUGGCGGCGUGCUUAACACAUGCAAGUCGAGCGGUAAGGCCCCUUUUGGGGGGUACACGAGCGGCGAACGGGUGAGUAACACGUGGGUGACCUGCCUUCAGCUCUGGGAUAAGCCUGGGAAACUGGGUCUAAUACCGGAUAUGACCUUUGCCUGCAUGGGGUGGGGGUGGAAAGAUUUGUUUUGGCUGGGGAUGGGCCUGCGGUCUAUCAGCUUGUUGGUGGGGUGAUGGCCUACCAAGGCGACGACGGGUAGCCGGCCUGAGAGGGCGACCGGCCACACUGGGACUGAGACACGGCCCAGACUCCUACGGGAGGCAGCAGUGGGGAAUCUUGGGCAAUGGGGGAAACCCUGACCCAGCAACGCCGCGUGAAGGAUGAAGUAUUUCGGUAUGUAAACUUCGAAAGAAUAAGGAAGAAUUAAUAGACGGUACUAUUUAUAAGGUCCGGCUAACUACGUGCCAGCAGCCGCAGUAAC
rnacentral:rRNA from 1 species